ACUUCUACAUGCACUUCCCGGCCCAGUUGUGCUUGGCGUUCUCGCGAGGCGGGGUGCUGGACUUUGGUGAGAGGGCCUAAGGGCGACUUCCUCUUCUCUCGGCCCCGCCUGCUGGCGCGGGAUCUCGGCCAAGUGGGCGGUUCUCGCGAGCCCCCGUCCGCAGGUGCCGCGAGACUCCUCUGUGUGCUGGCUGCAGCAGCUGAGGGGUGGCUCCGGCUUCGUGAGUUGUCUGGCGGCGCUCGGCGUGCGAUGACGGGUGAGACCCAGCUCUGAGGAAAAAGCAAAGCCACCCUGGGAGAGUGGCAAACAGAUGAAGGACGAAAUCACGUCAGUUUCUCAAUCUUAAGAACUGGCUAAGGCAACUCUGCUUCUCAUUAUCCUUCAAUAACCUCAAAGCUGUGGAUGAUUUAAUGCUUACUGAAAUGGCUCAAAGCAGGAAUCAGAGGGACAAAGAGAAGACAAGAAGAAGAAGGACAGAGAACUCUGAGAGUGAACAAAUUGAUUACUGACUGCUGAACUUGACUGUGCAAUACCCAAAGACAAGUAUCUGGUAAUUUCUCUUCGAUGAGAUACAGAUGAAGAGCUGAUGAAGAGCCCAAAGUGCUUUGAGCAACAAGUAGGUGACACACAUUCGUGCACUUAUGCUUAUGCAUUUAGAUCAGAAGGCUGAGCUUCAGAAUACCGUCUAGAACUGAUUUACUUUUAAAGUAGGUGUUGUUACAACAAACUUGUUUGGGUUUCCU